rnacentral:misc_RNA from 1 species
AACUUUUGGCAAUGGAUCACUUGGCUCUCGCAUCGAUGAAGAACGCAGUCAAUUGCGAAAAGUAAUGUGAUGUGCACCCUUUGAGAAGCAUUAUACUCUUUGAACGCACCUUGCGCGCAUCUCACGAUGCGAGGUCCUGUUUGAGCGUGUAUUGAAAAAUACUAUUACUAGUUAUAUGGUUGCUAAUCAUCUUCUGGUGAGUGGCGGCUGAAAGACAUGCAGGGCCCGAACGACUCUAGGGCGCCACGGGCAGCAGCGCGACAAGCACCACUGCGAACCGAGGAACUGCGCGUGGUGUGCUUGUGUAGUCGUCUGUCAAGGCACACGCUACCAUGCACACUACAACCAUAACACACACUAGCACCUCAAAUCAGGAUAGAGGACCCGCUGAACUUAAGCAUAUCAAUAAGCGGAGGCU